UUUCGCCUCCCUCCAGUCGGCGCCAGGAGGUCGCUGUGCCCGUGCUUUACGGCGAUGGUACCGUGUACGUGUUCCUGCAUAGCACGCACGACGGCGACGCCAACGCCCAAGCCCGUUGAACCAUAAAAGUUGCUGCUAUUUACUAUAGUCUUCAUCCAAUUCUUGUGAUUUGCGCGCUUUACAGGACUUGGAGAUACUAGGCCUAGAGAAAUCCAUCGACUUGUUGAAUCUCAUCCAGAAGGUUCACCCUUCUGCCUUUGGGUGUGGUUAAUGAGAAUGGAACUGCACGUUUUUUGCGCUUUGUAGGAUCGAUUUGCUUGUGCCUGUGUUGUGUGUACUGUAUCUGGCAUGAUUAUGCUGAAACGUAUGCCUUGAUAUCUUGGUACUUCCCUGUAACAUGUAGAGAUUCCAUGAACUUGUUGUUCCAUCUUAUUCUGCAUCCAGGUGGUCACUCUCUGAAAUACUCAAUUCAAAUCUACUUUGCCUUUGAUUCACUAAAACUUGUGCUUCAUGCAUUAUAGCAGCAGUACAAUCUUUGUUUUCUCGCUUGGUUCUUGCUAAUAAUGGAACCUACAAGGAUUUCACGAAUCAAAUAUAAGGACCUAAAGGACAAGUUAAAUGCCACCUAUGUAGAGCUUCUAGAUUCGCUGCAGUUAUGCUUAGGGAAAAUGUUGUAGACCAACACUCGAGUUUCAUUUAUAUCGGUAGCUCCAUGUUUAUAGUAGGUAAAAGACCAUUCGACACACUAGACUUGCCUUCACUAUUUUCAAAGUUUUUUCGGAAUGACUAACUUCAAAAACCUUUCGUAUCUGAAGCAACAUGGGGGAAUGCACUCUAAGUUGAAAUGCCAAUAUUAUGUUGUAACUCAUGAUUUUCCUAUGUAAUAUAUGCAGGUUUCAAUCUCAAUUCAAUCCAUCAUUUUACAUCGAGUUCAUGUAGGACACGUUGGAGUAGGAGAUGCUCUUUUCAAAACCAACACUACAGGUUGUCAUCUGAAGUUAUCGCUUAUUAUUAUUACCCAGUUUGAGCCACUACAGGUUACCAUCUGAAGCUGCCUUUGAUCACUCAAUCCGAGCCAAUAUACAGGUUACACUCCAAAAAAAAAAACAGACCACAUUUUUCUACCAUCAGGAAGGGCUCACUUCCGAUGUGUAUUCUUUCAACCACAGUCUUUGAUGUUUGACAUUUUCAUUUUCCCAAAUAGACAUAUUGCAGAGUCAGACAAGCUUAUGAAUUGGUGUUUUCCUUUUUUUCUUCCAGAUUCCGAACUGAAACUUCUUGAUAAUAUAUACAUGUCCUUUAUGACAUAAUUUUAUUCAACCAUUAUUAAAAAAAUACACCAAUUCUUAUUUUGUGCAUACAAAUGGUAUUUCGAUUAGGUCCAUCAAGUAGAUAUGACUGUUUAAUAUUGUUGUCAUAUUAUCAUUGCUUAUUUUCUAUCUACACAUUCAUCCUAUUAUAAUUGGAGAUCACCUUAUUGUUUGGUGAGAUUUCUCUGUGUGCCACUCAGAUUACAAAAACAGAUAUGAGCCCUUUGCCUCUUUCAUAGAUGAACUACAACGUGCCAGUCUUUAUCUUGUAUAGAUGGUUAUUGUACUGGGGUUGCUCAAUAUUAGGUUCAAGAAAGAUAGGUUAUUGUACCAAGUUACUUACGAUUAGAUUUAUUUGAUCAUCUGACAGGGUUCAAUAGCAUUUUGAGUAGGCUAUCACAUUAUCGAACCAACUUGGAUGCGAAAUUGCAAUUUCUUCAAGGAAUCUGAUAUGAUAUAAGAAUCUUGAAUCUGCAAAAUUCACCAGUGAAGCAUCGAACCUGUGACUGUGGAGGCGGUGGUUCUGGAGGGGUACAUCUUAGCAUCGCGAGGGCACUUGGCAGAUAUACAUCACAAUGUAAAGGUGUGCAACCUUCUGCUCAGAUCCAUUUCGUUGAGCUGGGUGACUAGGUAAUUGAGAUUUGCGUAUUCAUUACACCUCCAGUUAAGUAUCAAAGUGCAUACGUAACUGGGGUACACCUAAGUAUAUCUCAUAUAGAAUUUUU